rnacentral:rRNA from 1 species
AUUGAACGCUGGCGGCAUGCUUUACACAUGCAAGUCGAACGGCAGCGCGGGCUUCGGCCUGGCGGCGAGUGGCGAACGGGUGAGUAAUACAUCGGAACGUGCCCAGUAGUGGGGGAUAGCUCGGCGAAAGCCGGAUUAAUACCGCAUACGACCUGAGGGUGAAAGCGGGGGACCUUCGGACCUCGCGCUAUUGGAGCGGCCGAUGGCAGAUUAGCUAGUUGGUGGGGUAAAGGCCUACCAAGGCGACGAUCUGUAGCUGGUCUGAGAGGACGACCAGCCACACUGGGACUGAGACACGGCCCAGACUCCUACGGGAGGCAGCAGUGGGGAAUUUUGGACAAUGGGCGAAAGCCUGAUCCAGCAAUGCCGCGUGUGUGAUGAAGGCCUUCGGGUUGUAAAGCACUUUUGGCGGGAACGAAAAGGACUGUGCCAAUACCACGGUUCGAUGACGGUACCCGCAGAAUAAGCACCGGCUAACUACGUG